ensembl:misc_RNA Y_RNA Y RNA
GGUUGGUCCGAGUACAGAGGUAUUUGCAACUGACUGAUUACAACUAGUUACAGAUUUGUUUGUUCCUUCUCCACUCCCACUGCUUCACUUGACUAGCCUAAA